rnacentral:rRNA from 1 species
CCUACGGGGGGCAGCAGUGAGGAAUAUUGCGCAAUGGGGGAAACCCUGACGCAGCAACGCCGCGUGGGUGAAGAAGGCCUUCGGGUCGUAAAGCCCUUUCGGACGGGACGAACGCUCCGCGGUGACAACCCGCGGAGCCUGACGGUACCGUAAGAAGAAGCACCGGCUAACUCCGUGCCAGCAGCCGCGGUAAUACGGAGGGUGCAAGCGUUGUUCGGAAUUACUGGGCGUAAAGCGCGUGUAGGCGGCCUUGCAAGCCAGACGUGAAAGCCCUCGGCUU